UACGUAGGGGGCAAGCGUUGUCCGGAUUUAUUGGGCGUAAAGAGCUCGUAGGCGGUCUGUUGCGUCCGCUGUGAAAACUCGGGGCUUAACCCCGAGCCUGCAGUGGAUACGGGCAGACUAGAGGUAGGUAGGGGAGAAUGGAAUUCCCGGUGUAGCGGUGAAAUGCGCAGAUAUCAGGAAGAACACCGAUGGCGAAGGCAGUUCUCUGGGACGGUACUGACGCUGAGACGCGAAAGCGUGGGGAGCGAACAGG
rnacentral:rRNA from 1 species